rnacentral:rRNA from 1 species
UGGGGAAUUUUGGACAAUGGACGCAAGUCUGAUCCAGCCAUGCCGCGUGCGGGAAGAAGGCCUUCGGGUUGUAAACCGCUUUUGUCAGGGAAGAAACGAGUUUCUCUAUACAGAGACUUAAUGACGGUACCUGAAGAAUAAGCACCGGCUAACUCUGUGCCAGCAGCCGCGGUAAUACAGAGGGUGCAAGCGUUAAUCGGAAUUACUGGGCGUAAAGCGCGCGUAGGUGGUUAGUUAAGUUGGAUGUGAAAUCCCCGGGCUCAACCUGGGAACUGCCUUUGUGACUGCAUAGCUAGAGUACGGUAGAGGGGGAUGGAAUUCCGCGUGUAGCAGUGAAAUGCGUAGAUACGCGGAGGAACACCGAUGGCGAAGGCAAUCCCCUGGACCUGUACUGACGCUCAUGCACGAAAGCGUGGGGAGCAAACA